AUUGAACGCUGGCGGCAUGCCUUACACAUGCAAGUCGAACGGCAGCGCGGGCUUCGGCCUGGCGGCGAGUGGCGAACGGGUGAGUAAUACAUCGGAACGUGCCCAGUAGUGGGGGAUAGCUCGGCGAAAGCCGGAUUAAUACCGCAUACGACCUGAGGGUGAAAGCGGGGGAUCUUCGGACCUCGCGCUAUUGGAGCGGCCGAUGGCAGAUUAGCUAGUUGGUGGGGUAAAGGCCUACCAAGGCGACGAUCUGUAGCUGGUCUGAGAGGACGACCAGCCACACUGGGACUGAGACACGGCCCAGACUCCUACGGGAGGCAGCAGUGGGGAAUUUUGGACAAUGGGCGAAAGCCUGAUCCAGCAAUGCCGCGUGUGUGAUGAAGGCCUUCGGGUUGUAAAGCACUUUUGGCGGGAACGAAAAGGACUGUGCCAAUACCACGGUUCGAUGACGGUACCCGCAGAAUAAGCACCGGCUAACUACGU
rnacentral:rRNA from 1 species